GGUGGGGUGGCCGAGAGGCGAGGCAGCGGCCUGCAAAGCCGUCCACGCGGGUUCAAAUCCCGUCCCCACCUCGA
rnacentral:tRNA from 10 species